rnacentral:rRNA from 1 species
GAUGAACGCUGGCGGCGUGCCUAACACAUGCAAGUCGAGCGAAGCACUUUGCUUAGAUUCUUCGGAUGAAGAGGAUUGUGACUGAGCGGCGGACGGGUGAGUAACGCGUGGGUAACCUGCCUCAUACAGGGGGAUAACAGAUAGACAUGACUGCUAAUACCGCAUAAGACCACAGCACCGCAUGGUGCGGGGGUAAAAACUCCGGUGGUAUGAGAUGGACCCGCGUCUGAUUAGCUAGUUGGUAAGGUAACGGCUUACCAAGGCGACGAUCAGUAGCCGACCUGAGAGGGUGACCGGCCACAUUGGGACUGAGACACGGCCCAAACUCCUACGGGAGGCAGCAGUGGGGAAUAUUGCACAAUGGGGGAAACCCUGAUGCAGCGACGCCGCGUGAGCGAAGAAGUAUUUCGAUAUGUAAAGCUCUAUCAGCAGGGAAGAAAAUGACGGUACCUGACUAAGAAGCACCGGCUAAAUACGUGCCAGCAGCCGCGGUAAUACGUAUGGUGCAAGCGUUAUCCGGAUUUACUGGGUGUAAAGGGAGCGUAGACGGAUGGGCAAGUCUGAUGUGAAAACCCGGGGCUCAACCCCGGGACUGCAUUGGAAACUGUUCAUCUAGAGUGCUGGAGAGGUAAGUGGAAUUCCUAGUGUAGCGGUGAAAUGCGUAGAUAUUAGGAGGAACACCAGUGGCGAAUGCGGCUUACUGGACAGUAAACUGACAUUGAGGCUCGAAAGCGUGGGGAGCAAAACG